rnacentral:rRNA from 1 species
CCUACGGGUGGCAGCAGUGAGGAAUAUUGGUCAAUGGACGAGAGUCUGAACCAGCCAAGUCGCGUGAAGGAUGACUGCCCUAUGGGUUGUAAACUUCUUUUAUAUGGGAAUAAAAUGUUCCACGUGUGGCAUUUUGUAUGUACCAUAUGAAUAAGGAUCGGCUAACUCCGUGCCAGCAGCCGCGGUAAUACGGAGGAUCCGAGCGUUAUCCGGAUUUAUUGGGUUUAAAGGGAGCGUAGGUGGAUUGUUAAGUCAGUUGUGAAAGUUUGCGGCUCAACCGUAAAAUUGCAGUUGAAACUGGCAGUCUUGAGUAGGGUAGAGGUGGGCGGAAUGCGUGGUGUAGCGGUGAAAUGCUUAGAUAUCACGAAGAACUCCGAUUGCGAAGGCAGCUCGCUGGACUGAAACUGACACUGAGGCUCGAAAGUGUGGGUAUCAAACAGGAUUAGAUACCCUAGUAGUC